rnacentral:rRNA from 1 species
AAUCCUGGUCGGACAUCAGGAGGUUAGUGCAAUGGCAUAAGCCAGCUUGACUGCGAGCGUGACGGCGCGAGCAGGUGCGAAAGCAGGUCAUAGUGAUCCGGUGGUUCUGAAUGGAAGGGCCAUCGCUCAACGGAUAAAAGGUACUCCGGGGAUAACAGGCUGAUACCGCCCAAGAGUUCAUAUCGACGGCGGUGUUUGGCACCUCGAUGUCGGCUCAUCACAUCCUGGGGCUGAAGUAGGUCCCAAGGGUAUGGCUGUUCGCCAUUUAAAGUGGUACGCGAGCUGGGUUUAGAACGUCGUGAGACAGUUCGGUCCCUAUCUGUCGUGGGCGCUGGAGAACUGAGGGGGGCUGCUCCUAGUACGAGAGGACCGGAGUGGACGCAUCACUGGUGUUCGGGUUGUCAUGCCAAUGGCACUGCCCGGUAGCUAAAUGCGGAAGAGAUAAGUGCUGAAAGCAUCUAAGCACGAAACUUGCCCCGAGAUGAGUUCUCCCUGAGACUUAGAGUCUCCUGAAGGAACGUUGAAGACGACGACGUUGAUAGGCCGGGUGUGUAAGCGCAGCGAUGCGUUGAGCUAACCGGUACUAAUGAACCGUGAGGCUUAACCUU